UCACAAUCAAACCUAGUUGGUUUUUUCCGGUUCACCAACCACAACCUUACACUGUUGGUUUUAUCUUUGGCUCACCAACAAACCUUACUAUCCUUGAUUCAAUCCCCUGAUUGAAUCAAGUACAAAAGCAAGAGUUUAAAGUUCACAAGGAAAGCUUCUAAAAAGCAAAUAUGAAAUAAUAUAAAGGAGAUUGAGUUAGAA
rnacentral:lncRNA from 1 species